CCCCCACCAAAAAUUCGAAUUCCACGCCCCCCCUCGCUCCCAGCGCCCAGCCCCCAGCCAUGGCGGCGAUCCCCGCGCUGCAUCCCGAUCGCCACCUCGUCCUCCUCCUCACCGCCCGCCACCGGGCCCUCCCGCCAUGCGCGCCCCUCCUGCGGCGCCCGGGCCGGGGCCGCGGCCGCGCCGUGAGGGUGGUGCCGUCCGGCGACGGCGCGGGCGUGGGAGGCUUCGCGAGCGUCGUGGAGGUGGAGGCGCGGCCGGCCCUGGGGCCGGUGGGGGCGGAGGAACAGGGAGCGUUGGGAGGCGGGGAGGGGGAGGGGGAGGGGGAGGGGGAGGGGGAGGGGGAGGGGGAGGAGGCGGCGGGCGGGGCGGCGUUGGGGCCGAGGUGGCCGUCGUGGGAGGGGUUACCCGAGCGGUACAAGCUGAUCGGCGCCACCUCCCUCGCCUUCGCCAUCUGCAACAUGGACAAGGUUAACUUGAGUGUUGCAAUCAUUCCAAUGGCACAUCAGUAUGGUUGGAACUCAUCAACUGCUGGCUUAGUUCAGUCCUCAUUCUUUUGGGGUUUUGCAUUGAGUCAACUACCAGGAGGGUGGCUGGCAAAAUUGUUUGGCGGAAGGAAAGUGCUUGUGGCCGGUAUUGCAACAUGGUCAUUGGCAACUUCUAUUAUUCCUUUUGUAGCUGGGUUUAUGCCAGGACUUGUGUUGUCAAGGAUUCUGGUAGGCAUUGGAGAAGGUGUGUCACCAUCAUCUGCUGCAGAUUUAAUUGCAAGGUUCAUUCCCUUGGGAGAACGAUCAAGAGCAGUUUCUGUUGUUUAUGAUGGUUCAAGCUUUGGCAGUGUUUUAGGACUUCUGUUUGCCCCUCCCAUCAUUCAGAACCUUGGAUGGGAGUCCUCCUUUUACAUACUUGGCCUUCUUGGGAUUGUUUGGUGUCUAGGGUUUGAAUCUCUUAAAGAACAAAAGUUAGGUGACAAUGAAGGCACACUAAAUUUGGGUCCAUGUUCUUCUGGAUCUGAUGGCCUUAUCUCAUCAGCUGUUUCUUCAAAAUCAUCAAACUCGUCAUUGGAAGAUACGCAAAAUUCACUAAAGGAUGUGCCAUGGGGAGCAUUUUUUAAAAGCAAGGCAGUGUGGGCAAUGAUAUAUGCGCAUUUUUGUGGAAGCUGGGGGCAUUAUACAUGCUUGUCUUGGCUUCCAACAUUCUUUAGUGAAGAGCUGAACCUGAGCUUGACAGAAGCAGCAUGGGUGUCAGUCCUUCCUCCUUUGGGUUCAAUGGUCGUUACAUCUAUUGUUGCACCUUUUGCUGAUAACAUGAUAUCAAGUGGAGUUGACACCACAAAGGUACGGAAAAUAUGUCAAACAAUUUCCUUUGUGUCACCUGCAGUCUUCUUGAUGCUUUCCUCCGUGGAUCUUGGACUACCUCCCUGGGGAAUAGUUGCUUUUCUUACAACUGGCCUGGCACUCUCCAACUUCGCAUUGUCAGGGCUUUAUUGCACCCAUCAAGACAUCUCUCGUGAAUAUGCUAGCAUUCUCCUGGUUCUGCCAUGAGUGGAUUUUGUUGAUUUGUUGCCUCUGCACUCCAGGGAAUCACAACCACCGUAGGCUCUGUGCCUGGAAUUGUAGGCAUUGCACUGACAGGCUAUCUUCUGGAUUCAACUCAUUCUUGGAGUAUAUCACUCUUUGCACCAGCUAUAUUCUUCUACUUAACCGGUACAGCAGUAUGGUUAGCGUUUGCCAGCAGUGAACCCCAGGACUUUGGCAAGUCGGAACGGGAGUCAUGACGUAUGGUUUCCCCUUCAGCACAGAAGGGCUCAUUUCGAAAGGAAAUUAAUCUCCUCUUAGGCAUAAGUAUGGGGCUCUUGGGCACUUGACCGAUGUAUAUUAUGUUCCUUUGUUGUCAGUUGUCACAUAGGAGAAGACCAGUGCAUGAGGGCAAACACAUGUAGUCUGUAAAUUGCAACUGUAAAUACGGUUGUGCAUUCAAUGACAUAUAUAUAUAGGACUUAUUUAUGAUCAAUUUUCACAUUCCUAGAAUUCAACA